UACGUAGGGUGCGAGCGUUGUCCGGAAUUACUGGGCGUAAAGAGCUCGUAGGUGGUUUGUCGCGUUGUUCGUGAAAACUCACAGCUCAACUGUGGGCGUGCGGGCGAUACGGGCAGACUGGAGUACUGCAGGGGAGACUGGAAUUCCUGGUGUAGCGGUGGAAUGCGCAGAUAUCAGGAGGAACACCGGUGGCGAAGGCGGUUCUCUGGGACGGUACUGACGCUGGAGACGCGAAAGCGUGGGGAGCGAACAGG
rnacentral:rRNA from 1 species